rnacentral:rRNA from 1 species
GAUGAACGCUAGCUACAGGCUUAACACAUGCAAGUCGAGGGGAAACGACAUUGGAAGCUUGCUUCCUUUGGGCGUCGACCGGCGCACGGGUGAGUAACGCGUAUCCAACCUUCCCGCAAGUAAGGGAUAACCCGUAGAAAUGCGGCCUAAUACCUUAUGUUUUCCUUAGAGGGCAUCUGAUGAGGAACAAAGAUCCGUCGCUUGCGGAUGGGGAUGCGUCUGAUUAGGUUGUUGGCGGGGCAACGGCCCACCAAGCCUACGAUCAGUAGGGGUUCUGAGAGGAAGGUCCCCCACAUUGGAACUGAGACACGGUCCAAACUCCUACGGGAGGCAGCAGUGAGGAAUAUUGGUCAAUGGGCGCGAGCCUGAACCAGCCAAGUAGCGUGCGGGACGAAGGCCCUAUGGGUUGUAAACCGCUUUUUCAGGGGGAUAAAGUGAGUGACGUGUCAUUCAUUGCAGGUACCCUGCGAAUAAGGACCGGCUAAUUCCGUG